rnacentral:rRNA from 1 species
GUAUCCUGGCUCAGGAUGAACGCUAGCGGCAGGCUUAACACAUGCAAGUCGAGGGGCAGCAUAAUGGAUAGCUAAUAUCUAUGGUGGCGACCGGCGCACGGGUGCGUAACGCGUAUGCAACCUACCUUUAACAAGGGGAUAACACUGAGAAAUUGGUACUAAUACCCCAUAAUAUCAUAGAAGGCAUCUUUUAUGGUUGAAAUUCCGAUGGUUAGAGAUGGGCAUGCGUUGUAUUAG